UGAGUGUACUUUGUCUUUUUGCAUUAAAAAACAUGAAAAGUAAUUCCUGCCAGAGAUGGGAAAAAAACCCCAAAACAAAAUAGCUACAGGAUUGUCAUAUAACUUGAUCACAGCAAUGCUGAUCCACUGAAGCAGAAUUCUGCAGGUUCACAGGAAAAAUCUCCAUGGACCUGCAUCACUCCCACAGAAAGCAGUUUUACUGCUGGCCUGGAGCACAGCUCAAGGCAUCUUCCAUCUGGGUAGUAUCUGUGCUCUGGAUCCAUGAACAAAUCAUCCCACACCUGCCUGCAUCUGAGUUAAAAUCAGCCAGCCCCUGCACAUCCAGGAGUGGAGUCUGGUAGUGAUGUGCCUCAUUCAGGUUCCUGAGAAAUUGCCAUCCCAAGCAGAACGGAGAGGGCACACACCAAACUCAGUAAGCUGCAGGUAACUUUCCCUGGAGCCCUCUAGGUACCUGUGACUCGCAGUCCAGCAGGCGGAUGGACUUGUCAUUCACUUGCAGCAGCAUCUCCUGGGUCCAGAUCUUCUCUUUUGAACUGAGCAACAUGAGUUUUCGGAUGGCAUCGUCCACCGUCACAAUGGAUUCACUCUUGUCCAUGAUGAAGGUGGCCAAGUGCUGAAGUUGGGAGGAAAGGAAGAGAAAACAAGUGAAAAAGCUUUGAUGAUCCUCCCGCUGCUGUUCAGCCAGUGAGAACAAACGGCACUCACAGCAGCACACGUGCAUCUGCCAGCAGAGGAGACCGCAAGGCAGGAUAAGCUGGGAGCUUUGUCUCUUCAAAGCAGCAGUGCUUUUGCAGUACUUUUGUAUGAGAACAGCCAGGCUGUUUUCUGUGGAGUUGUCCUUGUGUGACUGACUGCACAGUCAGGCCACAUGUUCAGUGUGCCCUAUUUCCGAUGUGGGGCAAGGUCUGGAACAGAAGGGCACAUGGCAACACAUAUCCGUUGGGAUUCAUGUCUAAUUACCCAGAGGCGUAAGAAAAACAGCAAAGCCAUUCUCUGAAGAAUGUUAUCCGUCACCAAUAUCUUAUGGAUAAACAGCACUGUGGAAAUGACAUUUUCCACUGGCACCAGCAGCCACAUGAGGAAACAGAAAAAGUUCAGACCACUGCAGAGGUAGCAAGCAUAGCAACUGGCUCAUCUGGUGGUGCCCGAGGCUCCAUCUGCCACCCCAACUGCUGUCCAUGCCACCAGCCCCAGGAUGCCAAACCCAAAAGAUGGAAGCAGGAGACAGGGUAGCCCAUCUGGGCCCAUCCUCACUGGAGGGCUGUGCCUUUAUGGACUGAAACCCGCGGUGCUGCAGCAGGUAAGUGAGCACUGAGCUUGGCCCGCAGCGGUGAAAUGACAGGAGGCACCGAUGAGACCUGCAGCCAAGGAUGUGCUAGCUUUUGUUUUUUCCUUCACAAGCUCCAACAGAAAAAGAAAUGGUGGGAGUCUGUUCCUGCUUUCAGAAGAAUCCACAUGGUCAAACCCUCUUUUGUUCCCAGGGAAGCAACCCUCCCUUGGGAAUGUCAGAGUUCACUGCUAAGCUUCGUGGGUGAAACAGGAUCAGCCAUAAAAUGAGCCAACUCUUUGUCUCCUGCUUGGUAGUAAGAAAGUGCCCAAGGCACUUCCCUAGAAGAAGACAUAAUAAGCUGUCAUGUACCACAGCUAGCAGAAGUGUCACUGGACCGCAGCAGUAGUCAGAAUUAGUUGCCACUAAUCUGAACGCACUGCCGUGAAUGUGCAAUAGGAACACCCAUAACCUGGGAAGCAGCAUAAAAUAGGCAUAAAGGGCUUUGUACUGCUUGCAGACCCAUUUGUGCUCUGGGGCUUCAAACGUCUUUCUUCUGGUCAAGUGGGGGAUGUACAAGCAUUAGUGCCGCUGACGUUUCGGCAAGGGGGCUGGCUGUAGAUUGCCCUUUCUGAUGCGUCCCACGGAGCGAUCCCUGGUGCAUCUCAGUGUUUGUAAUGCAGUAAACCCUAGUGUCAACCCUCCCUCCACCCGGCACCACUGGACAGUUGUCCUCACUGCCAGAGUGCCUGCAUCUGAGGAAGGGCACCAUGCUGGAAGCAAUGCGAGUCCCUGCCAAGUCGCUGGCAAGGCAACCCUAACCCUAACCGGUCCCACUGGCUUCCAUUCUUUUUAUUUAUUCAUGCUAUUUUUAUUCUUUAGCCUUUGCCUGGUUCUUACACUGCUUUAAAGACAUUGUCUGUGUUCAAACUUCUGUUAGUCGAAACGAGGGUGUGGUGUGAUGCUGGCCAAGUUAAACCAGGACAGAGCCUGUGCCAACACUUUUAAUUCAGUUUAAAUUGUCUGAUAUUAAUUGAAUCCUCACUGGCGGGGGAGGGGGACAGAUUUCUGAGGGGUCAGAGGUUUUAUAAUGAUUUUGCUAAAUUGAGAGAAAACUGGAUUUGAAUAAGAUUAAGAAUAUGUCGGCUUUAACUAUGCAUGGAGCCCAAGGCAACCCACGAGAGACAAGAGGCAACCUUGGCAGAGCAGCUAGAGCUCCUGCGCUCUGCAAGGUCUGACGUGCAUGUUGUCUUCUCCCUGCUGUCAUUUCAGCAGUGGCUCACGCUUCCCUGAUCAGGGGGUUUCUGAUCCCUUUCUUAUCUUCCUGCCGGGUGUGGCUGUUUUCUCCACCUUCCCCAGAGGGGUGAGCAUACAUGGAAGGGAAGCAAGAGGCAAAUUUAGCAGUGCAAUGUAUGGCUGUACAAAGACUGCCUUUUCUUCGGCUCACCAAACCCAGUGUCGAGAUCGUGUACCCGUUCUUUCGGUCUCAGUGGGUCACCAAGCACAGUGUUUCCUGAGAUAAGGGCUCCAGCAGCUAAGCCAGGCUCAGAUUCUGCCUACUGUUUCACAGCCCUCCACUCUGCAUUUCUCUCCCCCCACACCAGUGCUGAGACAAAAGUUUGUGGAGCAGUUCUGUGGACUGAAUCACUGGCAUCCUCCAAAAUAAGGUUAUUUUAAACUCAGAUCUGUGCAGUGAUCUGUUGUUGGUUUUUUUUUCAUGUGCAUGUCUGUGUGACUCCACAGGUGGCUAUUUUUAACCAGAUCCAUACCCCAGGGCGCUUUACAGGGUGCUUGCACAAACAUUUGCACCAGCAUGGCCAAGGGGUGAUGAAGGGCAGUGCAAGAGCGGGACCGAGUGGUUGGGCAGAAGAGCACGAGGGCAGCGUCUCGCACACCCAGGGCUGCCUCCUGCGUCCUGGCAGCCAAGUCGGUACCUAGAGCAGGUGCCCCCACAGUCAGCGAUGGCUGGUGGGGCAGGUCAGGGAGCGGGGACAAGUGGCAGCACUGUGCUUCGGGGGGGAAGGCGGUGCUUGCAGGCAUCCUCCAGGAAGCUUCCCUGCCUGGCUAAAGCACGACGCUGACUCACCCCAGGCUAUGUCAUGGGUGUGAGCCCGCUCAGCCAUCCUGCAAGCCUCAGCCCAGCAGCUCUCCCAUGCUGGUGUCCUGCCCAGGAGAUGUCACCUGUCACCAGCAGGGAGGCCAGCAGAAGGCAACACUGAAGGACAGCAAGAUGGGGAAAUUUGUAUUGUACUUUAAAGCAAAGGAAAUCUCAUUCCCUGACCUUCCGGACAUCCUUAUCCUUAAGGUCAAAUAUCCUCCUGAAGGGACACACACAGUCAUCGUAGAAGUCUGUCAUUGCUGCCUUUGCUACAUUUCUUUACUCUUAUAGCAAAUGGAAGAGGGCCAUACAUUGUUUUGACUUUUUUGAGUCUCUUUGAAGAGGAAGCCACAAUGUCGCAAGGGUGGAGAAGCUCCGGCAGAGAGGAAAGAAUAAUAACUCUCUCUUUUCCAGGGGCCAGUCACUCUUACUGGUCAUACCUUAUUUUUAUUAGGAAUAUUUCUCACUCUUCUGCUAUGGUCAUACAUUAUUUUGGUUCUCACAGCAAAUAUAAAAUUACUGUGAAAACUUCUGGACUUUGGGUGAAGAUUGGCCAACUUGAAAAUGUUGUGAAAUACUAGUGUAUUUUUAAGGCUAUUAUUAUUAUUAUCAUCACUGUUAAUAAUAAUAACAACAGCAGUAUCUAGUGUCUGUGAAUACUUUUCAUUAUGGGUAUAAGAAUACCUUUAAGCAUGAGAUCAGUUAGAUCAGGCUGGAGAAAAUUUUUUGGUAUCAGGCCAUUGGAAUAUAUGAUUGUAUCAGUAGAGAAAUACUGAGCAAAACACAAAAGCUUUUACUGGAACUUCACUGCAGAUCAACAGUAGAAAAAUACAGCAAAGCUUAAAGUCCCACUUUGACAAUUGUGAGUGGAAAGUUUGAUAUUUUCAUUCCAAAAUCACUUCUCAUUUUAGAUCUACUAAAACCCAGCAGCACUGUAUACUCUGAUGUCAAAUAGAAAGCUUGACCUCCAAGUCUUUUGAUGAUUGUCAAGAACAAAACAUUAGAUCAAUGUGAAAGAGUUCUUUGGGUGGUUUUUUUUCCCCCUAAGCUUAUUUUCAAGAAGAAUUUUGAAAUUUUCUGUUUUAAUUCCAAGUGGAGAUUAAACUAAAUCACAGAAGCUUUCAUAAAAAAAGCCCCUGCUUUCUCUGCACAGUUCUAAUUAGCAUCAUUUCACCUGUUUUACACACAAGAAAACUGUGACACAAAGAGGUGAAAAGGGCUUCUCAACGACCGUAUACAUGUCAGUGUUAGGGGAAGGAAUAGAAACCUCAACCUUAAAUUCUGUCUGUUGCUCUCUCCAGUAGGACUCGCUACCCCUGAGUACAAGACUGUGCAGAUGUUUGUUUAAGAACAUUCUCUAAAAUCAAAAAACUAACAAGUUACGUAGGAGUAAUACUUUAUUUUUCCUAGCAUGGCCUAGAGCAUUUCUAACAGAUCCUAUCUUUGUUUCCAUCAGUCAUCCUGCUGAAAUCUGUCUGGUGUGACAGGACUUCCAAAAUGCCUGCAAGCUAGUACUGAAAUGUGUUUUCCUACCUCGAGCCAUGGUGCUGAUACUGCUGGUUUAACCAAUCUGUCACAAAAAGGUGUCAAAUAAGGUUUGAUGUCUUUUGCCUAAAGCAUUUCUUGACUGGUUUGGACCACAUGAAAUUAUGCCAAAAUGCAAUGUGGUCUCUUAUAUCCCACCAAGUCAAGGAAAAGAAGGUGGUCAGGAAUGGCUUUGUUCUGCAGUACAUGCAAAGUGCUCGAGGACAUGGAAAGUCUCUGCACCAAGUGCAUCAGAUUAAGGCGCUUGGGCACUGAUGAAAUAUAUGCGAUGGAAACACUGCCCGUGGGUCCCGUCUGGGGAUGGGAGGGGGGUAGAUUCGUACCAAGGGUGCUGUUGGCUGUGCAUGUAGCCAGUGCCAACUGGAUGGGUCAGACAGGAAUGCUAGAUUAGCAAAAGCCUCGGCAAGUAACAUAAAGCUUCGGCUAGAAACAUUAGCUGUUGACCACAUGAUGUUAUCUUUUAAACUUCCCAGGACAACAAAGCACUGUCUGUUAGGGUUGCUGGGUGUUUUUAUAAGGGAAUGUCACACUGGUGAAAGCUGUUUGAUACACUGUCAUGCAAACCUACAUCUUCUCAUACCCACGAGAGCCAAGGGAGUGCAGGCACCAUGAUGUAUAUACAUAUCCUGCACUGCAUGGCUUAUAGUCUUUUCCUUGCUCCAGACAGCCUCCCAGGCACCUGGGAGUAUCCUGCACUCUCCCGUGAACUGUCCUGCCCUCCAUUUUUAUAGUAUUGGAGGACCUGGCAGAUAGAAAAGGCUCCACCCCCACAGCAAUCCACAAACAAAAUAGCUUUCUCCUGUUGUUGGUGGGGCACUGGGGUCAGUGCUCGUUCCUCCUCAUUUGGCACCCAAGAGAUCUAAAUUCACACGACCUUUUUUAGUUCUCUAAAAAUGCUUGUAUGAGCCACCCUGGAAACCUGUGGCAGAUCUGAGAAUUUAACCCAGGUCUCGUGUCCUAGUCCAGCAUCAUAAUGAUGAAACCACCCUUCUAAUUCAAACCUGCUCUGUAGGGUCUCUUCCAGAAGCACGCAUGCAUAAAAAGCUUUAUUCAGGUUAGUCAGAAAGCAGCAAGGAAAACCCAAAUCCAGAGCAAAGGUGCUGACAGCCAAAGAAGCAAGUGAACAUAUUGCUGUUGCCCUGUAAAGACAAGCAAGCAAGGAUCUUGUCCCAUCUUAGGACUGAAAUUUCCAAAUCCCGUCUUUCGAAUCAGGCCUUGCAAAUCAUGGUUAUGCGUUCUAUUUUAACCUACUGCUGCAGAUUCCUGCUGUGAAAGGGAGAAAAACAUCCACCUGAUACUUCUCAAAGGGUCUAGUUGGCCCUGGGAGUCCCCCUUCUUAGGCACAUUAUUUGAGAUGUCUUUGCAGAGACCCAGGGUUUUAGAAAAUGCUGAAUGCUUUGUUCUUUCUUUCCUCUCUCCCACGCAUGACACCCUUUCAAGUUAUCUCUACAGUGAUGGAGCCACACAAGACCACAGGUCACUUUGGGAAGAUGCUAGGUGAGCAUGAUUGAAUGUAUAGUUUCAGGGUAUGCAUGGCACAGGGCACGUUAUGUAGCACAUUACAUUAGUUUGAGUCACAGGUGGCUGGUACAACCUGCUAGAUAUUUGGAAGAAACACUCCCUGCUCUGCACACUGGAUUUUUCACAUUGCAGAGAUUCUCCAGAAGACAAACACCUGCAUAAAUAUAACCCAGCCCAACAGGUUGGUGACAUUGGCCACGGGUAGAAAGAUGUUCUGGAUUUAGCCAAAGUUCAGUUGGGAUUGGUAUGUUAAUUAAUGUAUAACCGAUUUAUGUUAGAAAGUAUAGGUCAGAGUAGAGAAGAAUCAAGUGUUCUUUAGCCAGCUGGAAGAAGCAGGGAGCAGCUCUUUUAGGCUGAGACAUCUUGGAACUACAGUCACCCCUCUGCAAGCUUUGAUGGACCCAGAUUGCCACUUUCUGUAUGAUGUACCCCUUCUUUAUGUGUUGUGCCCUUCUGUGCUGUGCAUAUGCCCAGCGCUGAGGAUUGCGCCCACGUAGCCAGUGCCUUGUUCACUAACCUCCUCAGAAACAAUAAUUUGUGCUUAAAAAAAGUGUUUCCUGAGAAAAUGUUUAGGCAAACUUCCCAGUGUUGAAAGGGGAACACCCACAUGCUUGUCCGGCGGUUGGGCUUGGCAUGAGUGGCCCCUUGGGACACCACACAGCC